AGGGCGGGUCCGCGGCCGCCAGGUGAGCCCGCCCCGGUAGCCCCGCGCGUGGUCCGGUCGGCAGAGGCUUGGCGAGCCGCCAUCCCGCCCCUGCCCCAGGCCCACCUUCCCCCACCGCCCAGGCCCCGCUGGCCUCCCCGGCUCAUCUCGCACCCGGCGCAGACCCCAUGCCCUCCCGUCUCGGCAGCGCCCCCCGCUUCGCCUCCCGGUCCGGCCCCAGCUCGACGGGCGGAACCGGGUGCGCACAGCAGCCCCGCGCCCUGGCCCAGGGCCAGCGGGUUAACGCUUAACUACGCUCCAGGAGCUGUAGGCUCCAGCCGCGCCUCGAGUCCCCAACCUUUGGCCCCGGAAGCCAAAAAGAGGAGCGGACGGUGAAGGAGUCAGGGUGAGUUCCAGAGGCCGCUCCCAGAUUUUCCCUCCCGAGCCUGGCCAGACUGGGCGUAUGUCCGACAUCUCCACCUCUGACCCCGGGCGCUCUGGGCUGAGCUGGGGGCGAUGGUGGUGGGCAUCGACGCCGUCUUACCUGGACGCCCACAGUGGACCUGACCUGGCCGAGGGGUGGGGGUGGGGUUGGGAACUACGGAGGCGCUCGGGGUUCCUGGGUAAGUUCCCGCGGACUGCUCGCUCCUUGCCGGGUGCUACAAUAGGCGUAUCCGGUGUCCCUGGAGCCAAGCUAGGGGACGGGAUCAACGUGGGGGCGGGGCAGCGUGCCCGAAGGGCAUUGCUGCAUUCCAGGUGUUGGGGAACGCAGUGAGCGAAGGCGUGGAGGUGAGGGAGAAUGUGGAAGGCGUGCGCCCGGCCGGGGAACCCUGGGCUUUGUCCUGUGGGCAGCUGGAGCGGCUGGGCGUUCCCGGCUGCGACAACGCCCACCUGGCCCCGCACCUGGGCCUGCUCGCAAUCCAGCGGCGCCUCUCCGCAUCUGCCUUCACGGAUCUCAGCCCCAGCAGAGCCCUUGUGCCGGACCCUGGGGCGGGAUUGCGAGUUCAGAGGGAGUCAAGAGGCGCCCUUGAGUAUGGCGGGAGCCCCACCCCAAGCACCUGGUGGGAACUCACUUGCCUAGGGAGAGAGCAGGGCAGUGAGCACUCCGGGCUGGCUCCCAGGAAAGACCCUCCGGCAGGAGCUUGGAUUGCAAGGUUGGGGAGGAGGGAGGCCAGGGGAGGGACCUGCAGCCAGGUGAUCCGGGUGCCUGUAUUUCUUCCCAAGGAUAAUGUGAGUUGAUGCUGGCUGAGAUCUGCUCCGAUGAGGGUUUGAAAGAGAGAGCUCCGGGUGUCAAAGUCAGUGGAUGGCAAAACAUGCCUGGAGGGAGCAACCAGGCAUCCAACCACAGGCCCUGGGCUGGAGGGCGGGGGGGGGGGGGGGUGGAAGCAGAGGAAGGAGAGAGAAGGAAAUUUGGGAGGAAGAGUGGGCACGAACUGGCUGCCCAAUUGUGUGGGUGGGUAGGUGGCAGGGAGGGACUGGUUGUUCUGGGUCUGCCCCUCCGGCCCCACCACACCUGCUUCCAGGUGAGCUUAGGAAUUUCCCAGGCUUCCUCCCAGCUGGAGCCAGACGUGUCCCUCAGAGGCCCCAGCCCUGCCCAUCCUUUCCUGCCCUACCCAGGGCUUCUCUACCUUCUUGGCUUGGCCUGCUCCUUGUUCACACCUUGGUAAAUGACCCUUCACAAAAGUCAUUUUCUCUAUUUGUGCUUUUCUUUCUUUUGCCAGGACGCUUGACUUUCUCGACAGGGAGGGGGAGGCAAGCCUGGUGCCCAGUGCUCUGCCUGCACUGGUCAGUGCGCGUGGCUGUCACUUGGCUGGGAAGCUAGGCCAGGAGAGCAGCUGCAGCUGUGGAGGUCGGCAGUUGAGAGGUGGAGAGACCUGAGCACACUUGGGCCAGUCGUCCCGUGGCAUUUGGGAGCCCAGGACCGAGCCGGGGGGCAAGUGUGGGCAAUGCUUGGAGCCACAGAGUGGGGGUAGGGAAUUGGAGGGGUAGAGAGGACAACUCAAACCAAGCCAGGAACCCACAGAGGAGACCAGGAAAGGAAAACCAAGAAGGAGUGAGUCCCCAAUGCCCCCAAAUUGAUCCAUAUAUUGAAUGAUCCCCAGUAAAAGUAGCUCCAUGAUGAUUCCAAAGCCCUUAGGAAACUAAAGGUGCCAGGAGAAUGAAUAGACACGUCUCCAUAGAAGACACACACUGGUCAACAAGUACAUGGGAAAUGUCCAGCAUCCUCCAGGAAAUGCAAAGCAAAACCACAGUGAGAUCCCACCUCCCACCCGCUGGGACUGGGCAGAUGCAGUCCUGGCAAACCAGUCUUGGUGAGGAGCGGGGGUAUCAGAGCCCUGCUGCACUGAGAUACACACACACAAAAUGGAAUAGUAUUCAGUCUUAAAAAGGAAAGAAAUUCCAGUACUGGCUGCAACUUGGAUGGACCCUGAGGAUCCUAUGCUGAGUUAAAUAAGCCAGUCACAGAAGAACACGUACCAUACAAUCCCACUUAUGUGAGGUCCCUAGAGUAGUCACUUUCAUAGAGAUAGUAGCUGACAGGAGGAGCAUGGGGAGUGACUGUUUAAUGAAUACAGACUUGAAAUUUGGGAAGAGGUAAAAGUUCUGGAGAUGGAUGGUGGUGAUGGGUGGUGAUGAUGGACAUUGGAGAUGGGCAAUGGACAUGGAUGGUGGUGAUGGAUGGUAUAAAUGGAUAUUGGAUGUGGACAGCGGACGUGGACAGUGGAGAUAGAGGGUGGUGAUGGCUGGUGGACAUGGACAGUGAAGAUAGAGAGUAGUGAUGGAUGGUGGAGAUAGAGGGCGGUGAUGGACAGUGGAGAUAGAGGGUGGUGAUGGACAGUGGAGAUAGAGGGUGGUGAUGGACAGUGGACAUGGAUAGUGGAGACAGAGGGUAGUGAUGGACAGUGGAGAUAGAGGGUGGUGAUGGACAGUGGACAUGGACAGUGGAGAUAAAGGGUGGUGAUGGACAGUGGAGAUAGAGGGUGGUGAUGGACAGUGGAGAUAGAGGGUGGUGAUGGACAGUGGAGAUAGAGGGUGGUGAUGAACAGUGGAGAUAGAGGGUAGUGAUGGACAGUGGACAUGGACAGUGGAGAUAGAGGGUGGUGAUGGAUGGUGGACAUGGACAGUGGAGAUAGAGGGUGGUGAUAGACGGUGGACAUGGACAGUGGACAUGGACGGUGGGGACAGAGGGUGGUGAUGGACGGUGGACACAGACGGUGGAGAUAGAGGGUGGUGAUGGACGGUGGACACGGACAGUGGAGAUAGAGGGUGGUGAUGGACAGUGGAGAUAGAGGGUGGUGAUGGUCAGUGGAGAUAGAGGGUGGUGAUGGACGGUGGAGAUAGAGGGUGGUGAUGGACAGUGGAGAUAGAGGGUGGUGAUGGACAGUGGAGAUAGAGAGUGGUGAUGGACAGUGGAGAUAGAAGGUGGUGAUGGACAGUGGAGAUAGAAGGUGGUGAUGGACAGUGGACAUGGACGCUGGAGAUAGAGGGUGGUGAUGGACAGUGGAGAUAGAGGGUGGUGAUGGAUGGUGGACAUGGACAGUGGAGAUAGAGGGUGGUGAUGGAUGGUGGACAUGGAUAGUGGAGUUGAAGGGUGGAGAUGGAGGGUGGUGAUGGAUGGCGGUGAUGGAGGGUGGAGAUGGAGGGUGGUGAUGGAGGGUGGAGGGUAGUGAUGGACAGUGGAGAUGGAGGGUGGAGAUGGUGGGUGGUGAAGGAGGUUGGUGAUGGAGGGUGGUGAUGGGGGGUGGAGAUGGAGGGUGGUGAUGGAUGGUGGAGAUGGAGGGUAAAAAUAGUUGGUGGUGAUGGAGGAUGGAGAUGGAGGGUGGAUGGAGGGUGGAGAUAGAUGGUGGUGAUAGAGGGUGGUGAUGGAGGGUGGAGAUGGUGGGUGAUGAUGGAGGGUGGUGAUGGAUGGUGGAGAUAAAUGGUGGUGAUGAAGGGUGGAGAUGGAGGGUGGAGAUGCAGGGUGGAAAUGGAGGGUGGUGAUGGACAGUAGAGAUGAAUGGUUGUGAUGGAUGGUGGAGAUGGAGGGUGGAAAUGGUGGGUGGUGAUGGAGGAUGGAGAUGGAGGGUGGAUGGAGGGUGGAGAUGGUGAGUGGUGAUAGAGGGUGGAGAUAAAUGGUGGUAAUGGACAGUGGAGAUGGACAGCGGAAAUGGAGGGUGGAGAUGCAGGGUGGAAAUGGAGGGUGGUGAUGGACAGCGGAGAUGAAUGGUAGUGAUGGAUGGUGGAGAUGGAGCAUGGAAAUGGUGGGUGGUGAUGGAGGAUGGAGAUGGAGGGUGGUGAUGGAGAGUGGUGAUGGAUGGUGGAGAUGAAUGGUGGUGAUGGACGAUGGAGAUGGAGGAUGGAGAUGGAGGGUGGAUGAAGGGUGGAGAUGGAAGAUAGUGAUGGAGGGUGGUGAUGGAUGGUGGUGAUGGAGGAUGGAGAUGGAGGGUGGAUGGAGGGUGGAGAUGGUGAGUGGUGAUGGAGGGUGGAGAUAAAUGGUGGUAAUGGACAGUGGAGAUGGACAGUCGAAAUGGAGAGUGGUGAUGGAUGGUAGUGAUGGAUGGUGGAGAUGGACAGCGGAGAUGAAUGGUGGUGAUGGAUGGUGGAGAUGGAGCGUGGAAAUGGUGGGUGGUGAUGGAGGAUGGAGAUGGAGGGUGGAGAUGGAGGGUGGUGAUGGAGGGUGGUGAUGGAGGGUGGAGAUGGAGGGUGGUGAUGGAGGGUGGAGAUGCAGGGUGGUGAUGGAGGGUGGCGAUGGAGGUUGGUGAUGGAGGGUGGCGAUGGAGGGUGGUGAUGGAGGGUGGAGAUGGAGGGUGGUGAUGGAGGGUGGAGAUGCAGGGUGGAAAUGGAGGGUGGAGAUGCAGGGUGGAAAUGGAGGGUGGUGAUGGACAGCAGAGAUGAAUGGUUGUGAUGGAUGGUGGAGAUGGAGGGUGGAAAUGGUGGGUGAUGGAGGGUGGAGAUGGUGAGUGGUGAUAGAAGGUGGAGAUGAAUGGUGGCGAUGGACGGUGGAAAUGGAAGAUGGAGAUGGAGGGUGGAUGGAGGGUGGAGAUGGUGAGUGGUGAUACAGGGUGGAGAUAAAUGGUGGUAAUGGACAGUGGAAAUGGAGGGUGGUGAUGGACGGUGGUGAUGGAUGGUGGAGAUGGAGCGUGGAAAUGGUGGGUGGUGAUGGAGGGUGGAGAUGGAGGGUGGUGAUGGAGGGUGGUGAUGGAGAGUGGUGAUGGAUGGUGGAGAUGGAGAUGGAGGGUGGACGAAGGGUGGAGAUGGAAGGUGGUGAUGGAGGGUGGUGAUAGACGGUGGAGAUGGAGGGUGGAGAUGGUGGGUGGUGAUGGAGGGUGGGGAUAAAUGGUGGUAAUGGACAGUAGAGAUGGACGGUGGAAAUGGAGGAUGGUGAUGGUUGUACAACAAUGUGAAUGCACUUGAUGUCACUCAACUGUUCACUUAAAAAUGGCAAACAUAGUAGUUUUUAUGUUACAUAUAUUUUACUACAAUAAAAAAAGAAUGAAAAGCCUAUAAAAUUCUGAAAAAUAAAAAAGGGGGCUUUAGCCCUGCCAGAGAGUAGAAUCCAUCAUAGAACAUCUUGCUAUGGGCAGUUGACUGGACACACACAUCAGAGCAGGUCUGUGUGAUCAUUUAGCAUAUGAUUAAUGGGGCAUUUAAAAUCCACGAGGGGCCGGGCGCAGUGGCUCACGCCCGUAAUCCCAGCACUUUGGGAGGCCGAGGCGGGUGGAUCACCUGAGGUCAGCAGUUCGAGACCAGCCUAACUAACAUGGGGAAACCCUGUCUCUACUAAAAAUACAAAAAAUAGCUGGGCAUGGUGGUGGGUGGCUGUAAUCCCAGCUACUGAGGUGGCUGAGGUGGGAGAAUCACUUGAACCUGGAAGCGGAGGUUGCAGUGAGCCAAGAUCGUGCCACUUCUCUCCAGCCUGAGCAACAAAGCGAGACUCUGUCUCAAAAAAUAAAUUAAUUAAUAAAUAAAUAAAUCCAUGAGGGAAAGGAUGUCAUUUAAAAAAGGGUGUGGCCAGGCACGGUGGCUCAUGCCUAUAACCAGCACUUUGGAGGCCGAGGCAGGUGGAUCACCUGAGGUCAGGAGUUUGAGACUGGCCUGGCCAGCAUGGUGAAACUCUGUCUCUACUAAAAAAAAAGGACAAAAUUAGCUGGAUGUGGUGGCGCAUGCCUGUAAUCCCAGCUACUUGGGAGGCUGAGGCAGGAGAAUCGCUUGAACCUGGGAGGCAGAGAUUGCAGUGAGCCUAGAUUACGCCAUUGUACUUCAGUCUGGGCAACGAGCGAAACUCCAUCUCAAAAAAAAUAAAAAUAAUAAUAAAAUAAUAAUAAAGGGUGGUGGAGCAACUGGGCGGCCUUGGUGUCUGGAAAAACAUGACGUUGGAUCCUGAUCCCACUCUUCACACGGAAAUAAAUUCCUUAUGGAGCGGAAAUAGAAAUGCAAAAACCCAAAACCACAAACAUAAUUUGGAAAAAACACAGGAGACUAUUUAAUGAUCUCAGGAUCCGGAAGGCUUUUCUGAGCACAACAAAAAAGCAGAAGCCACAGGGAACAUUGUUGAAAAAUUUAAUUAAAUUACAAAUGGCAACAUUUUGCCUAGACCACAUAUUUAAAAUCAAAGGAUGUGCAACAAACUGGGGAGAACCCAUGAUAACUCAGUGGUUAACAAAGGGCCGAUUCUCCCAACAAAGGGCUACUAUCAGUCAACGAGGAAAGGGCCAGGCCGCCGGACACGCUGCACAAAGGAAGCCCCAAUGGCUGCUGACUGCAAGAUGCUGAACCUCCGCCGUAAUCAGGGAUGAGCAAAUUGGCCCUACCGGAAGAUGGUAUUUUCACCUGUCAGACGUUUUCAUGAGAGACUGGGAUGGGAGGAGCGGGGAGACAGGCACUUCCCACAACUCCCAGCAGGAGUGUGAAUUUGGGGUGUCGGGGGAGGGGAUUUUGUUUCCACUAUAGCCUGGUACUGCUAGAAGGUUUUAAAUGAGGACACUAGCUGUACUAACAAUUACAAAAUUCGCAGUACUGUGUAGGGGAGAGAGGGUCGGGGGGGAGGGCAUGGGGCCCCCUACGCAAUGUGGUGGCGCCAAGGGAAUGCCUAGCGGGUCCCUUGGGCUUAAGGACAAGGAUGCCAAGGUUUUGGGGCCUGGCAGGCCGGAGUGGGUGCCUGGAGCUAGAGGUAGAAGGUGUAGGUGCCCCCUUCUGGGAACAAGGGGGUGAGAGGAGGGAGGGAAAAAGGGGUGCAGGGCGGGUCAGAGGGCUCCCUCCCCCCAACAGCUGACCCCCCAGCCCCAGCGCCCUGCUUUGCAGCCACGGCAUUCAGCAGCCUCCACCUGGGGCUGAGAUUGUGACCACCCUCAGGGACACGGGUUCAGGUCUGCUGUCUGCUGAACCUACGUUCUGCAGGAUUUGGUCCAGGGCUCUGGUGAAGAUGUAGGAGUUGGCCUGCGUCAGCGCCCGUCCCCGCUUUCCACAGCGAGCAAAGACCGUGGGAACCCUGAUGCCCCUUUGCAUUUGCGCUUCUGUACUUAGCUGCUAGUCUCAGGCAGUGAAAGCUUCAAGCCACCCGCAGAGCCCUGGAACUGGGGCAUUGGCUCUAGUGGGAAAAGGAGGCUUCCCACUGGCGACCCACCAUGACAGACCACAAAAGACAUGCAGGUCCCCACAGUCAGGCCCUGACACCCACUCUUCCUGCCUUCUUCUGCCUAGGCUUGCACAGCUGGGCAAGUGAGCGGGAGCCACGGGUUAGCUGAGAUCACCUGCGGCCAGGAACAGGGCCUUCCUGGAGGUGAGGACAAGCUCUGCUUCCUCCAGGAGCAGGUGCUGGAGCAGAGCGGCUCCCCCGUUCUACAAGUGUCCUCUGUGUGGCGGCCCAGGUCUGUGCGGGCCUGUCCAGCCCAGGAGAGGACAGAAGUCAUCUGUAGCCUGGGCCCCUGUGGCCCCCAGCGAGAGGCCCUGGUGGGACUGGUCUUUCUCAGCCUGUGCACCUGGGGCUGAAACAGGACUCAAAGAGGGAAAGUGGCCCAGGCAGGCCCUCCCCUCAGGCCUCCCCUCUCCCUGGCUGCUCUCCCAGGCUUCCCUGCUUUCCCUUCUGAGACCCCGACUACUGGACCCAGCCUUACUGCCAAGAUAAUUAUCCACAACAGCAGGAGCGCCCAGGCCCAUGAAGAUAAUCGCCUGCCCAGCACUGUGUCCACAUCCAGUUCAUCCCAGCUGAGACCCAAGUGCAGCUGAGGGGUGGGGGACACUCCUCAGCUCUCGAAUGAUGCCAACCCUCCAGGGCCUGGCUGGGAGCAGCUCAGUGCUUCCUGGCUCCGGGGCUGUGUUCCCUACGUCCCAUUCGGAGCUUCUCUCCUGAAGAAAACAGUGUCUGCCUGCACCCUUCUUAGAAAGCACCCUGACACGUGGCUACAAAGAGCAGAGAGCACAGUACCCUUCCCAGACACACACCAGCACCCCCACCCACUGCAUUUAAGCCACCACUGUCCCGCCGCAUUCAUCCCUCCUCUACCCCCUAAAUUCAUCUUUCAGUGGAACUCUGCGUUCAUCCCUCCACUCCCCGCUCCAUUCAUCCCUCCACUCCCUGCUCCAUUCACCCCUCCACUCCCCCCUCCAUUCACCCUUCCACUCCCCCCUCCAUUCAUCCUUCCACUACCCCCUAAAUUCAUCCUUCCACAGAACCCUGCGUUCAUCCCUCCACUCCCCGCUCCAUUCACCUCCACUCUCCCUCCAUUCACCCCUCCAAACCCCCCUCCAUUCACCCCUCCACUCUCCCCUCCCUUCACCCUCCACUCCCUGCUCCUUUCACCCCUCCACUCCCCCCCAUUCACCCUUCCACUCCCCCCUCCAUUCAUCCUUCCACUACCCCCUAAAUUCAUCCUUCCACAGAACCCUGCGUUCAUCCCUCCACUCCCCGCUCCAUUCACCUCCACUCUCCCUCCAUUCACCCCUCCAAACCCC
rnacentral:lncRNA from 1 species